UCUGUUAUCUCCGAGACCAGAUCCAAUCGGGCCGCCCCUCCCAUCCCCCCCACAGCCAGCCACCGUCGCGAUUUGGAGGCCUAUCUUCCUCCCAACCACGACUUGGGUUGCGCUCCCCCGUCGAGCGAGCCCCACCACGGCUGCUGGCGUGCUGGCCGUCGAGCGAGCCCCACCACGGCGACGAGCCGACGACCACCACCUUCUCCUUCCCCUCCUCCGGCCAGAUCCACCCGGUGCCCCUCCGACGCUUGACGUUCAUAUCCAUACCGAGCAGGCGUUGUGGGCUUGCAAAAUUAGUGCGACUACCUACAGGCCGGUGUGGUGGAACUUGGAUCAUGUAGAACUCCAGCCAUGCAAUUUUGUUGUCGGUGUCAUGGAUUUUUUAUAGUUUGUUUGUUUCUUCCAGCUCUCCUUUCUACCUACAAAUUUCUGUCUGUGUUAUAAAACUCCAGUGCUACUACGAUGGAUCUUCGAUCUCCUAGAAUGCCAUCACUUGCGACCUUUGUUGUCGGUCGUUCGGUGAUAUGGAUUUGUGCUACAAGCCGUUGACCUCAGAUUUUGUUUUCUGAUCUCACUUCGUAUUCUCGUGUGUGCAUCCCUCCGGCGGCUGCCAUCGACGGAAAUUGAUGCAUGUAUGUGCUCUCGCGUGUGCAUAUUCAGAUUCGUGUAUGCCUAGUAUACCUUUCUGUUAGUUGAAGUGAACCGUAGUCACCUAAUUCAAAUGUUAUUGUACUGUGAGGAACUAUUUAUAUUUUGUCUUCAACUAUUGAAGAAAAUGUAUCAGAAGUUCAGAACUGAAGAACUGGAUCAAACUUUUUGUAAAAAUAUGUGCAGUACUUUUUAGUGCAUUGCUCUGCACUUUUGGGAUGAUAGUAUGUAACUGGGA